rnacentral:tRNA from 1 species
GCGGAGGUAGCUCAAUGGUAGAGCUUCAGUUUUCCAAACUGAAGGUUGCGGGUUCGAGCCCCGUCCUCCGCUCCA